UACAGAGGGUGCAAGCGUUAAUCGGAGUUACUGGGCGUAAAGCGUGCGUAGGUGGUGAGUUAAGUCUGUCGUGAAAGCCCCGGGCUCAACCUGGGAAUGGCGAUGGAUACUGGCUCGCUAGAGUGCGGUAGAGGAGAGUGGAAUUCCCGGUGUAGCAGUGAAAUGCGUAGAGAUCGGGAGGAACAUCAGUUGCGAAGGCGGCUCUCUGGACCAGCACUGACACUGAGGCACGAAAGCGUGGGGAGCAAACAGG
rnacentral:rRNA from 1 species